rnacentral:misc_RNA from 1 species
GCUUUAUGCAAGUUCAAAAAAAAAAUAAUAGGUUUUACUCUAAUCAAAAUCCAAAAGAAUUCACCAACCAACCAAUUCAAUUUCUCCCAAUUUUUCUUUCCCACUCAAAUGAAGAUCCUAGUUUUGAUGAUAUUGAACCCAUUUUUUUUUCUACUAAUUCCGCAUCACGAGUAAGAUUGAAAUGAAAGAUAAAAGAUUUCACUGUUUCAGAGACGGAGAAGAAGAAGAAGUAAGCAAAUCACAUCAAUUAUACAAAUAAUUAAAUGGUCAUAAUAAACAUGAUGAGAAAUGAAAAAUCAUAAAGCAAAAGUCCCUCAACCUCUUUCUGUCCACAAUUACAAAUUUACAAUCCCAAUAUUAGCCAAUAUCAAAGAAGACCCAAAUCUAAUUGUGGACAACAAAGAGCCUAACGAGAGCAAAUAACUCAGAAUAUACCCAUUUCAAGAACCCAAAGAAAGAUUCGAAAAAAAAAAAAUUCAAAACCCAUUUAGAAGAGAAGCCCAAAAGCAAGAGCUGCAAGAGAUGCGAAAACAGUAGGUACAAAUACGUUAGCAUCAGAGGCAGGGCUAGGAGAUGGGGCUUCCUGAGCUCCCACAUUCUGAACAGUACAAACAGCCAUGAGAACAACCACAAUAGCCAAAAAUACUCUCAUCUUCAAUGCCUCCAUUGCAAAUUUUUUUUUCCUGUUUGGUAGGUGAGAAAAACAAAACUUUCCCAACAAAAUUAUGUAUAUUGAAUAGAAGAUGGAAAAUUUUGUGGAGGCAAAAGGAAGUGCUGCACUGCUGGUGGGUUGGCAGGAGCUGGGGAUGUGGAUAGUUUAUAUAGAGGAGUUGAAGGGGGUGGUGGAGACCGUUGAUGGAGGCCACAUGCAUAUGGGUUUUCUUAAUUUGGGGGUGGUAAUGGGCAAAAAAAGUGUUGCUUUGGGAGUUGGGACAGGGUGUCUUUCGCUUCUUUUGGUGCUUUCCAGCUGUUGCCAACGGUUUCUUCUCUCUUUCUCCACUUCAUAACCACCACUUUU